rnacentral:rRNA from 1 species
AUACAUGCUAAAAACCCCGACUUCGGAAGGGGUGUAUUUAUUAGAUUAAAAACCAAUGCCCUUCGGGGCUCUCUGGUGAUUCAUAAUAACUUCUCGAAUCGCACGGCCUUGCGCCGGCGAUGGUUCAUUCAAAUUUCUGCCCUAUCAACUUUCGACGGCUGGUCUUGGCCAGCCAUGGUGACAACGGGUAACGGAGGGUUAGGGCUCGACCCCGGAGAAGGAGCCUGAGAAACGGCUACUACAUCCAAGGAAGGCAGCAGGCGCGCAAAUUACCCAAUCCCGACUCGGGGAGGUAGUGACAAUAAAUACUGAUACAGGGCUCUUUUGGGUCUUGUAAUUGGAAUGAGUACAAUUUAAAUCCCUUAACGAGGAACAAUUGGAGGGCAAGUCUGGUGCCAGCAGCCGCGGUAAUUCCAGCUCCAAUAGCGUAUAUUAAAGUUGUUGCAGUUAAAAAGCUAGUAGUUGAACCUUGGGCCUGGCUGGCCGGUCCGCCUCACCGCGUGCACUGGUCCGGCCGGGCCUUUCCCUCUGGGG